CCUACGGGAGGCAGCAGUGAGGAAUAUUGGUCAAUGGGCGCGAGCCUGAACCAGCCAAGUAGCGUGAAGGAUGACUGCCCUACGGGCUGUAAACUUCUUUUAUAAAGGAAUAAAAUGAGGCACGUGUGCCUUUUUGUAUGUACUUUAUGAAUAAGGAUAGGCGAACUCCGCGCCAGCAGCCGCGGUAAUAUGGAGGAUCCGAGCGUUACCCGGUUUUUGUGGGUUUAAAGGGAGCGUAGAGGGGUUGUUAAGUCUGGUGUGAAAGUUUGCGGCUCAACCGUAAAAUUGCAAUGGAUACUGGCAGUCUUGAGUGCAGUUGAGGUAGGCGGAAUUCGUGGUGUAGCGGUGAAAUGCGUAGAUAUCACGAAGAACUCCGAUUGCGAAGGCAGCUUACUAAACUGCCACUGACAUUGAUGCUCGAAAGUGUGGGUAUCAAACAGGAUUAGAUACCCUUGUAGUC
rnacentral:rRNA from 1 species